UACGUAGGGGGCAAGCGUUGUCCGGAAUCAUUGGGCGUAAAGCGCGUGUAGGCGGUCCGGUAAGUCCGCUGUGAAAGUCGGGGGCUCAACCCUCGGAUGCCGGUGGAUACUGUCGGGCUUGAGUACGGAAGAGGCGAGUGGAAUCCUGGUGGUAGCGGUGAAAUGGCGCAGAUAUCCGGAGGAACACCGGUGGCGAAGGCGGCGAGCUGGUCCAUUACUGACGCUGAGGCGCGACAGCGUGGGGAGCAAACAGGAUU
rnacentral:rRNA from 1 species